GACGAACGCUGGCGGCGUGCUUAACACAUGCAAGUCGAACGGUGAAGCACCCUCCUUUUGGUGGGUGUGGAUGAGUGGCGAACGGGUGAGUAACACGUGAGUAACCUGCCCCCUUCUUCUGGAUAACCGCAUGAAAGUGUGGCUAAUACGGGAUAUUCUGGGUCUGUCGCAUGGCGGGCCUGGGAAAGAUAUUGUUUCGGUGGGGGAUGGGCUCGCGGUCUAUCAGCUUGUUGGUGGGGUGAUGGCCUACCAAGGCGGUGACGGGUAGCCGGCCUGAGAGGGUGGACGGUCACACUGGGACUGAGACACGGCCCAGACUCCUACGGGAGGCAGCAGUGGGGAAUAUUGCACAAUGGGCGCAAGCCUGAUGCAGCGACGCCGCGUGAGGGAUGGAGGCCUUCGGGUUGUAAACCUCUUUCGCCAGUGAAGCAGGCCUGUCCCUUUUGUGGGUGGGUUGACGGUAGCUGGAUAAGAAGCGCCGGCUAACUACGUG
rnacentral:rRNA from 1 species